rnacentral:lncRNA from 1 species
CCGAACAGUAUCAACUAUUUUAGACAAACAGAGUUAAGCACGUAACGUAAUGAAGAUCUAAUUUAUCAAUAGACUUAUGAAUCUUUCAGUCUUUGUUUUGUUUUCGAAUCUGAUUAGUUUAGAAAUGUCUGUGACACUUGUACGGCUAUACCGAUAUCCCUUAUAUACUAAAUCACAAGUCACACAACCAAUCCUAUUUUGCCACAUGUUUUAAGUUUCAUUUAUCAAAAAAAGUUAAAAAAAAUUGAAACAAAGCAGUUUUUGACAUCUAUAUUUCCAACGAAAAAAAGAACAAAAUUUUUGUAUUCCUUGCCACGAUCUCCACCUCCUCAUCCUACAUUAAAAUCAGUUAUUCAACAAAUUUGUUUAUUAAAUGGUUUCAAACAGUUUAAUUUCUUCCAUGAGGUAACUGAUGCUUUCAUCUCUCCCAUAAUUUUAUUUUGAUAUUGAUAACAUCCUAUCCUCUUUCUUUUUCUUUUCUGGACGAAUUUUUAAUCUGAUGGUGGCUGUAUAGUAAAUGAAUAAGUGAUAAAGUAUCUUAAUUCCAGCAAUUAAUUAUGUUUUGUUGUACAGUUUGCAUUCCUUAUGUUUUUGUUUUUUUUUUCUUUUUUUUUUCAGAGGAAUCAUCACUUUUCUCAUUACUGUUUUCAAUGUAGAAAAUGAUUCUCAGCUUAAAACAAAUAAUUUAAAUUGAAGUCGACAACGAUUGAAGAAGAAUUAAAGGGAAAGGAGAUAACUUACACGAAGACUCUCAACCCACAUUCCUGUUCAUGUUUUGAUCAAUAGGUCAGAUGCAAAACCUUUUAAUUAUUCAAAGUAGGCAUAGAACAAAACCUUGACCACUAAAUUUGUUUCUUUUUAAACAAUAGUUAGUGUUGUAAACAUUGUAUGGCUGACCAAUUAUUAAAUAUCGAAUUGGUAAAACUCUUAAAUGACUAAUUUUGGACGGUAAUUUAUAUAAUAAAUAUCAUAGGAUUAACAUAUAUAAAUAUAUCUAGAUAUGAUUGAGGUGAAUUCGUUAAAACAAAAAUAAAAUAUUAUAAAUAAUUAUUUAAGUAUGCUUACAUCUACAAUAAUAUUGGUCAACCAAGUAUACUAUCUAAAGUAUGCAAUUUUUUAAUAUACUUA